AGGGUUUGAUUAUGGCUCAGGAUGAACGCUGGCGGCGUGCCUAAUACAUGCAAGUCGAACGCUUCACUUCGGUGAAGAGUGGCGAACGGGUGAGUAAUACAUAAGUAACCUGGCAUCUACAGGGGGAUAACUGAUGGAAACGUCAGCUAAGACCGCAUAGGUGUAGAGAUCGCAUGAACUCUAUAUGAAAAGUGCUACGGGACUGGUAGAUGAUGGACUUAUGGCGCAUUAGCUGGUUGGUAGGGUAACGGCCUACCAAGGCGACGAUGCGUAGCCGACCUGAGAGGGUGACCGGCCACACUGGGACUGAGACACGGCCCAG
rnacentral:rRNA from 1 species